rnacentral:rRNA from 1 species
AUUAUCUUAAGCAGAAGAAUUCUGGUAAAGUUUUACCAUAGUGGGUGAUAGUCCCGUAUGCGUACAGUUAAUAUGAUCUAGUGGGACCCUGAGUAGUGCGGGACCAGAGAAAUCUUGCAUGAAUCUGCCGGUACCAUCCGGUAAGGCUAAAUACUCCCGAGAGACCGAUAGCGAACUAGUACCGUGAGGGAAAGGUGAAAAGUACCCCGAACAGGGGAGUGAAAUAGUACCUGAAACCAUGUGCUUACAACCGGUCAGAGGUCCGCGAGGACUGAUGGCGUGCCUUUUGCAUAAUGAGCCUACGAGUUACUCGUCAUUGGCAAGGUUAACCUAUAAUGGGGAGCCGUAGCGAAAGCAAGUCUGAAUAGGGCGAAUAGUCAGUGGCGGUAGACGCGAAACCUGUGUGAUCUACCCAUGGGCAGGUUGAAGGUGUGGUAACACACACUGGAGGACCGAACCGAUAAACGUUGAAAAGUUUCCGGAUGACCUGUGGGUAG